UAUGUGACUUCGAACACCGGUUCUCGUACGGUCACCGAAGUUAAACAACGUCUGGUCUGGGCAGCACCUAGAUGGGGGACCGCUUGGGAAUACAAGGUGCUGUAAG